AGCAGCGUGGCUCAGUGGAAAGAGCCCGGGCUUGGGAGUCGGGGGUCACGGGUUCGAAUCCCGGCUCCGCCA
rnacentral:tRNA from 1 species